UGUGGACCUUGUCCUCUGCCCUUCUUACUUGGGCCAGGCCAGAUGGAGUCAAGUAACAAGUGACUGAGCGUCCAGAGGCUACAGGGCUGGGUGCUGCAGAGCUGCAGAGCUGCAAAUGCACUACCUGGAUGGCCUGGCAAUGCCCUGCUUCCUGGGCACAGCAUGGACAAUGGAACAGUGACCUCUUCACAGAAGGAAGAGAAUGGAGAGCUUAUUAGCUGCAUUUACAUAGCUGUUAGUAAUUAAUUCUCCGAGAAUGUAACAGGGAGCCAGCCACUGCUGUUUGUGGCUGUACUGUGCAGGUACUUACAGAAAUCACCAUCAAUUCUGAACUGCCUAACAUAGGUGCUGCCCUGGCUAGUUUUAGGUCAACUUGUCACAAGCUAGAGGUAUCUGAAAAGAAGGAAGCUCAACAGAGAAAAUGGCUCCAUGAGAGGAGCCAUUGCUGCCUGUGGCGGUGCUGUGACUUUCCUUAUGACUGUUCUGGCCACUCAGCUCUCCUGUAUUGUCUCUUCGGGCCGUAGCUCAUUCUCCUCUAUAGACCUUUGUGUCUUUUUUUUUAGAGGCUGUAGAGGUGGCUUAGCUCUUGUAGAGGACCCUUAUCUCUUAGCACCUUAGUUAUGCUUUCUGUUGGUAUGACAAAAGACCAUGACCAAAAAGCAAGUUGGGGAGGAAAAGGUUUAUUUGGCUUACACUUCCACAUUGUUGUUCAUCACUGAAGGAAGUCAAGACAGGAACUCAAAUAGGGCAGGAACCUGGAGGCAGGAGCUGAUGGAGGGGCCAUGCAGGGGUACUUGCUUCCUAGCUUGCUCUCCAUGGCCUGCUCAGUCUGCUCUUCUUACAGAGCCUAGGACCACCAGCCCAGGGAUGCCAUCACUUAUCAUGGGCAGGGUCUUCCCCCAUCAAUCACAAAUUAAGAAAAUGCCUUACAUCUGGAUCUCAUGGAGGCAUUUUUCUCAAUUGAGCUUCCUUCUUUUCAGAUGCCUCUAGCUUGGGUCAAGUUGACAUAAAACUAGCUAGGGCAGCACCUAUGUUAGGCAGUUCACAAUUGCUUCUUAGUGCUCUUCUUGAUGGCUUCUGAUUCUGUAAGUACCUGCACUCAUAAGCAUGUGCCCACACAUACACACAUAACCAUAAAAUAUUUUUAAUUAAAAAGGCUUUUUAUAUAUUGAGGCUAAUAAGCUGUACUAAACAGCCACUAGAGAAGCUGCCCAGUAGGACUGUAAUUCAACAUCAGCCUGAGCUAUAGAAUGAAUGAGUUCAAAGCCAGCAUAGACUAGUGAGACCCUGUCUCAAAACAAAAUUUAAAAUGGGGUAGAGACUAGAGCUGUACCUUAGUGGUAGAAUUCCAUACAUUAGCAUGCCUGAAGCCCUAGAGUCAGCCCCUUGGCACCAUAAACUCAUAGCCACAUCCUCUGGUGGUUUGAAUAUGCUUUGCCAAUGGGAAGUGGUACUAUUAGGAGGUGUGUCCUUAUUAGAAGAGGCAUAGCCUUGUUAGAGGAAGUGUGUGGAGGUAGAGCUUUGAGGUUUCAUAUACAUGCUUAGGCCCUACCCAGUACAGAUGAGACCCCAUUCCUGGUACUAAUUUUUGUUUAGGGUUUUAUGACUAUGAAAAAACACCAUGACCAAGGCAACUCUUAUAAAGGCAAACACUUAAUUGGAGCUGGCUUACAG
rnacentral:lncRNA from 1 species